GCAUUGUUGGUUCAGUGGUAGAAUUAUCGCCUGCCACGCGGGUGACCGGGGUUCGAUUCCCGGACAAUGCA
rnacentral:tRNA from 1 species